rnacentral:rRNA from 1 species
UACCAGGACGAGUGGCGGCAGGUGAAGCGGUUCGUCCCGAAGCGGUAGCGACGGCAGCUGGUGGUCCCCGUGCCGAAGAGGCUCCCGAAGGUCCGGGUGUAGGGCCUGUAGCCGGGGCACGAGCUGCUGACGCUCCGGCCGAAGCGGGGGAAGGCGCGACUGAUGGGAGGGGGCGACGAGACGAAGGAGAUGCCCCUCAGGGAGCCGCCGCGGUAGCGCGACGACGACGUGGAGUGGUUUAGUCUGUGUCCACAGCGCGCGCGCGCUCGUAGCGUGGCGGGUCCCGGGCGUCGGGCGUCCGUGACUUCGUUCUACACCUGCGGGCGUAGCAAGGCGACGUCGGCGGCAGCGACCCAGGUCCCGUCGUGGAGGAAGCACAGCGGGCAGUUUGGUGGCGGGGCCGGGGCCGCGGUGGGCGUUGUCGGGCUGCGGCACGACGGCGCGGGCUUGGGCCGCUCCGCCGGAGGUAAGAGGGUUCGCUCGUGCGGAAGGUAGAAUAGCAGAAGGCGGCGCUGCGGAGCGGGGUUCGCUCUUCCGGUCGGCGGCCCUGCGGAGCGGGGGAAGGAUCCGAGCCCGCCGCGCCUGCGGGCGGCGCUGUGGAGAGGGGAAGGAACCGAUGGCGCCGCUGCGGAGCGGGUAAGGACCCGAGCCCGCCGCGCCUGCGGCGGCCGUUCUACGCCACCACCUCCUGCCGCGCGUCCGCGGCCGCCGCUCGCCGCACGGGCCGCCACCUCAUGCCGUUACAUAUUCGGCGCCGCCUCUUGCCGUUACCUGCGUCCCCCGAAAAACGUUUUAGGUUGGCAAAAAAGUCCUGGUGUGUAAUUUAUCCUGACGCCCAACUAAAGGUCUUUUUGUCUCCAGGAAAAAUGUUUUCAAGGAACUGCUGCCUGCUGGUCUUCGCUAGCGACGAAAUAAUCAUAUAUAUAUAUAUAUAUAUAUAUAUAUAUAUAUAUAUAUAUAUAUAUAUAUAUAUCCAUUUCUACUUCUUUGUUGUUCUCUUUCUCGGUUGCUAUGACCUUCCUUAUUUCGAGUGGAACGGAUUUCUUCCUUUACUUAAUUAGUCCUAAAGGAACUUCCUUAAUUUGAGCGGAACGAUAAUCUUCCUUCGCUUAAUUAGCCUCUUCCCUUCCUAAUUUUAAACGUCGUGCCCAUGUUAUGCUGUACAACUGUGCAGCACUUGUACGUGCAUUCAUUUCGUUCGAGGAAAAAAAGAGCCAUAUAAGUUUUCUUUGAUUUAAUUGUUCCGUAAGGGAUCUUAAUAAAUAUGCGUUCGUACGUCUGUAAGCAACUUAUAUACGUAGUGCGCUCGUGGGUAUUAUAUGUUCACGAAGACAUACGUAGAAAAAACUCCACAAGUACAGAGUGUUGUUCAAAAGAAUACAUAUAUAAUACGUACGUAUACCCUAUUGAGUAUUACGUUGUAUUGUCAAUUACAGAGUAUUGUUCAAUCAAUACGUUAAACUAUCUCGAUAGGCUCUUCUAAAGUGUACUCUUUUUACAGGGUCCAAAUCUUUUUUAUUAAUUAUAUUAAUAAGUACAAAGGCCAAAAGUUAAAAACUAAUUACUUGGGCAGUAUUGCCAAUUGGGUUAUAGUGUUCGGGAAGACAGAGAGGCGAUGUAUACAGAGCAUAAUUCGCGUCUGUUAAUCAUGUGGUAGCAGUCACCUUUCGUAUACUGUAUCACCUCCAGUUCUAUUUUAUCUUUUCAACGUUUGGUUUGUUAGGUAUGUAAACAAUCGUCAAAACGUUUUUCCUUAACCGACUUUCACGUUAAGAAAAAGUACAAUCCUUCUUAACUAUGAAUAAGCCAAUCCCCUCACACUAUAAAAAAAAAAGGGCAACGUUGCGUACCCGUAUACACGAUCACUUACUUUUUUCUUUUCUUUUCUUUUCUUUUUAGCUGCGUUAAUCAACACCAUGCGACUCGACCAUCGUCGAGGCAAAAGAGAGCUCAGGAGAGUCCAGACUUCCGUAGCCGCCGCAGUAGCAGCGCAGUCAAGGCUAAGGUUAGGUGUCGGGUCGGUACAGGUGCGGCCGGUCAGAGGGCGGCGGCCGGGGGCGGCGGUGCGGGGAGUGGCUGGAGGAGCUCAGUGGGUGGAAGCGCGGGGGGCGCGGUCGCGGGGGCGGAGGGUGGGGGCGGCGGUAGGAGUGGCGCACCAGCGUGGAGGCGUCGCGGCGAGGGAGGGGACGCCAGUGGGAGAGGCGGGAGCUCUGGGAGGUGGACGUGGCGGCGAGCGAGGCGGAGUCGAGGCGCGUGGAGCUCGACGAGGACGGCGAAGAGGGCGAGGUGGGCGCGGAGCAGAGGGGCGACGAGCGGUGGACGGGCGCAGAGGAGGGGUUGAUAAGCGAGGGGAAACGGAGGGAGGGAGAGCGGGGAGCCGAGGAGGAGGACCCGUGCGAGCGGUGGCGGUUCUCGAGGUUCUUAAGGUGGUCGUUACCGUGGAGUCCCUCGGGGUCGUGCCCCUUAGAGCCCUCGCUGGUACCACCGCUGCUGGGGUAACACCGACACUCAGCGUAAGAUCUCUUAUGCCUCGUCCCGUCACUCUGGUCGCUACAAUAACUGGUGGAACGCGAACGACCAUAACCGGUACGGGACCGUACACGUCUACUCGACGUGAAACCUUCCUAGGAACACAGGGACCAAUCCUAAACGCCGUCCUAGCCCCUACAUCCACAACCACAAUCCCACGAAUUCGACCACCUAACCGACCACAGCCCCAAGCAGCUCAGCUCCUCCUACGCGUUCCAAGUCCAAGACAAGCUCCAUUAAAGCGGCCUCUUCACGCUCUCGCUCCCAAUACACGACAAAGGCCGCCACUACCGCCGAACGCCACCUGAUGCCCGUAACUCCCAACGAAGCCACUCUGUAGCGAACCUGAAACGGGGUUUUAACUUCCUGCGAGGACUCACCUGGUAAGCAAAACGUCGAUUCUCCCGUUGACAUCUUCCCUCCGUACUGCUACUAGUCGCUGCACAGGAAGAAGUCACACAACGUAAUCCAAACUGUGUCACACCCGGCCAUCGCAGAUUACUAAGUCACAAUGUCACACAAGAAUACCGUGACGACCUCCUCGAGGAAGGAGAAGGUACAGACGAAUCCUAGAGUCAAUUCUCAGGUCUACCUUUAAGUCGACUCGAACGGUUCUUAGUCCAGUUCGUUGUGGUCCUAUCACAGGAAAAGUUUCUUCGUCCCGGUCACUGACCCCAAGACACGUUAGUCAUAAGUAAACGACUACUCUUCUGAUUUCUAAUACAACUUUGAGCACAUACACUUAUACGCGUUCUCGACAUAGUAGUAGAAGCACGUCGUCACAACGACGUGGUCUGCUUUGCCUUACUAAACGAACGACUCUAACUAUUCUAACGACUCCGUCGUAAAAAAUACUAACAUUCGAAACGUCGUCUCCAACGUUUUGUGUCCAACCUACGUUUGAGGAGUCCCCCCAAUGUCGGUCUCCAACGACAAUCCUAGAACCACCUUAAGAGAACACACCUUGUAGACUCUGCAAACGCAGAAGGACUCAUGUGACUUCGUUAGGCCGCACGACAACAACAAUUAGUCCUAUUACGCCGUCGGUCACGAAAUAAGCAACUCAGUUACGGAAGUACACGACUUAACUGUUGGUUUGGUCCAAUAAAUUACGGUGAGAGGAUUAGAGGAACACGGUAAUACUAAUUUUGAAGAGUACACUAACGAAUCUACACGAACGUCGACAACUAAUUUCACCUCGAAACCAUAUAACAUCUAAAUGAUUGGAACCUACCUUGUUCUAUAUAGACAAUGCGCCUACUCCAAGUCUGCAGUGCGUAUAACAAAAUAGACGCCCAAUACGGAUGAACAUAAUCGGAAUAAGGUCGACUAGAUUAAGCCCUAUUUAAUCGAGGCCAGCAUAAGGACAUAGGAAAUAUCUGUGGUGAUGAUAAACAGAAUGAUAAAUAAAAACUAUCUUAAGGAAUAAACUAUGAGGGAGACAGGGUAUUAAAUUCUGCAAAAGACUGUGAUGUGAUCUCAGUUUUUUGCAGAAUGUAAUACCCUGCCUCCCUCAUGAUCUAUUUUUACACGAAGGGAUAAACUGGGACCUUUUUUUAAGAAGGAAUAAACCGUGAGCCAGAUUUAAAGAAAGACCCCAUUUUGACAGAAAAGUCAAGAGUGAAUUCCCGGACAAACCCUGACGAGGUGACGUGGUUUAGGUGAAACCUCGUUUAAGUGGAUCCUCAACGUCGAAGAGGUUUCUCGUCAAAUAGGACAAACCGAAGGUCGAAGUUCUUAUUCUUUUAAACCACCCUUUCCAGAUAAACCGACCCACUGCACCCCUUUAUUUUGUUUCCGCAUAGGUGAAUGACCACCAUCACGACCCAUUAAAGGGUGGUUCAGGUGUUCCUGAGAAGCUUGAUCUCAAAAACCUCGUGGGGACUUCUCGAAGUGUUUUUUAUCCUUCAACAUGGGGUCUAAGAACAAAAAAAGAGUCUCGCCCUAUAGUACCUCAAUGGGGCAAACCGAACGCAAAAAAUCUCGCCUCGUCAGGGUUUGUCCGGGAAUUAUAGCAAUCAUCGGUAUUAACUGCCGUCACCGUGUAAUCCCCCUUUUCUGUCUGGAGACGACGACGGCGGUAUGUCCAAUCCCCAGUCCUAACUCCCUCCCGCUCAAGAAAAAAUGACGUAUGAAAAAAAAAACUGAGAUCCCUCUCGCUCAAUCCAGCAACAAGCCCCGUCAAACCAAGGACGAUAGGAAAAAAAGGUCGCAAUAUGUAGUCCCCAUUUCGGCAACAAAGUCGAGAGUGAAUUGUGGUAACCAUCCGACCAUCGGUUUUACCGCCUUCACUUUUUUAUCAGGCUCGCAGUUUAUCCCUUAUUUGAAAAAAACGUCCCGGUUUAUCCCUCCGUGUAAAAAUAGAUCACAGUUUAUUCCUUAAGAGAGAAACAAAAAGAGUAACCCAAUAGAACUAAAACUAUAUGUUUUAACGGCGGGAAUUACGUUAAACAAUCUAUGUAUGUUGUAAGCUUACUUUUUUAUUGUGCACGACAUGUGAGCCACUACCAUAGUAAGGACAGUAGACCGUUACUAUGACUAGUCCUACUAGCUCACCGAAACUUUCUCGUUCAGCGGAAACUAAUAUAAUCCUCUAGGAACCUCCGAAUAGGACCCCAUUGAGGUAAACUACCUAAUCGUAGUCCUCAACAACGUGAACAAGCCGUGGAAGGACGUUUCUCGGGACGGUAAGACAAAACAUAGGUAUCGGAACGACACUUCCGAUUUCUAGAAACGUCAUGACGUUACCAAGUCCUGUCUAGUAAUACCUCCAGUACCCUUCUUUCGUGUCUCGGGACGUUCUUUCAUAACCUGAACAACGAUGCCGAGUAGAAGGAACAACUAUAAGUCAGUAAGAGAAUAGACGAGUUCCUCGACCGCCUUAAACAGUGGAGCGACGGUUUCCUUCCGGUCCUACACGAGGAGCUACUGUACGUGCGGGUACAGCGCCUUAGACUGCUACAACAUGCCUUCGGACACGAGCACAGCACCAACGUCAGGGAUAGUAUGUAUUCGAGUGUUCGACUACAAGCACUUAGAGCAUUAUUGCGCUUUUUACGAGCAAGACGCCCACCCCAACUCGACUCGGACUUGUCUUGAUAACGUGCGAACACUGUGAUAGAACGAGUACGAACAGCUCGAACUAGUAUGAACAACAUGUAAUUGUCACGUAUCUUAUCUUACUCUAUCUACGUACAACGUUCAUAUCAUGACGGAAAAAGUAGAACUGUAGUACGGCCAUGCAUAAACAAAUAGACUAAGUUGUAAAACUCUGUUCACAAUGUUACUGUUAUGC